AAGAGUCAAAUGAAAUGAUUCUUAGAACAAGAAAUGUUGAGACACAAGGAGAAAUAGUGCUCAACUUGCAUGGAAUUUUUUUCCAAGAAAAGACAAGUGAAGUAGAUAAGGAGUCAAAUGAAAUGAUUCUUAGAACGAGAUAUGUUGAGAUACAAGGAGAAACAGUGCUUGACUAUUGCAUGGACAUUUUUUUCCAAGAAAAGGCACUUGAAGCAGAUAAGGAGUUGAAUGAAAUGACUCUGAAGACGAGAUACCAGUGCAACUACAAUGACGUGGGCGGUGGCAGAGCUAGCUAGGAAACGGAAACUGAUGAAGAAAGCCCAAGAAGAAGUUAGAAGAUGCAUUGGAAACAAAGGAAAAAUCAGUGAACGAGAUAUAGAUGAGCUUCAAUACCUCAAGAUGAUAAUCAAAGAGACCAGAUUGCAUCCUCCAGCUCCAAUAAUGAUUGUUCCAGGAGAAACCAUGUCUCAUUUCAAAAUCCAAGGUUAUGAUAUUGACCACAAAACACUUGUCUUUGUCAAUGGCUGGGCAAUUGCAUGAGAUCUUGAGUCUGGGAAGGACCCAUAAGAAUUCAUCCUAGGAAGGUUUGAUGGCAGCUCCAUUGAUUAUAAAGGGCAACAUUUUGAGUUUUAUUAUUUAGUGCUGGUCGAAGAAUUUGUCCUGGGAUGUACAUGGGAAUAACAACACUACAGCUUGGACUUGCAAAUCUUCUCUACUGGUUUGAUUGGAAAUUGCCUAAUGGGAUGAAGGAGAAAGAUAUCGAUAUGGAAGAAAAUAGGGUGUACCAUGGGUAUUUUUGGUAGUUAAAUAGAGUGUACUCAGUUAAUUUUAGAGUUCGUUUAACAACACUUUAAUUUUUUAUUAUCUUUUAUUGUGUUCCUCAUCAUAAAUAUUAAGAUAC